rnacentral:ncRNA from 2 species
UUCUUAUCAAGAGAGAUUGAGGGAUCUGGCCCUACGACGUCUCAGCAACCUGUUUGUUACAAGGUGCUCCAUCCAGCAGAUUCAUUCUGAAAGAUAAGAA